rnacentral:tRNA from 1 species
GCGCGCUUGGCUCAGCGGUAGAGCACUCGCUUCACACGCGAGGGGUCGGUGGUUCGAAUCCACCAGCGCGCACCA